GUGCUCACUUCGGCAGCAUGUAUACUAAAAUUUGGAACGAUACCAAGAAGAUUAGCAUGGCCCCUGUACAACGGUGGCAUGCAAAUUCAUGAACCUUUCCAUAUUUUU